AAUCAACGCUGGCGGCGUGCCUAACACAUGCAAGUCGAACGCGAGAGGGGCUUCGGCCCCGAUUGAGUGGCGAACGGGUGAGUAACGCGUGGGUGACCUACCUUCGAGUGGGGGAUAACGUCCCGAAAGGGACGCUAAUACCGCAUAACAUCCUGCUUUUGAAUGGGUGGAGAUCAAAGCCGGGGAUCGCAAGACCUGGCGCUUGAUGAGGGGGCCCGCGUCUGAUUAGCUAGNGGUGAGGUAACGGCCCACCAAGGCAACGAUCAGUAUCCGGCCUGAGAGGGCGGACGGACACACUGGGACUGAGACACGGCCCAGACUCCUACGGGAGGCAGCAGUGGGGAAUUGUUCGCAAUGGGCGCAAGCCUGACGACGCAACGCCGCGUGGAGGAUGAAGGUCUUCGGAUUGUAAACUCCUGUUGCCCGGGACGAACGGCUCCGACCUAACNCGUC
rnacentral:rRNA from 1 species